UUUGCAAAUACUUAAUAUGCAUUUUAUUUUAUAAUUUAAAUACAUUCUUCAAUACUUAUCUUAUUUUUAACCUAUUUACUCACUGACGUGGAAAAGUCUAUUUAUAAACUUAAAACUUUUGAAGUAUUUAUCUCAAUAACCGCGUGGCAGCAAAAUAUUAGAAAUUAUAUCAAUUAACCUAAAUCCUAAUUAGAGUCUUAGUUGUCUUCUUCAGUCGUUCUUCUCUGCGCCCUAUUCUUCAUCAUCUUCCUCAACAAAACCUUCUCCAUAUCUCUGGUUUUUUCCAAUACGACACAACCAUUCGAGCCCUUCCCAAUAUCCCUCAGUCCAGUAGUCCACCACCCAUCAACAACUUCUCUGUUUCAAUACCACACCCAUUCGAGCCCUUCCCAAUAUCCCUCAGUUCAGUAGUCAACCACCCAUCAACAAGUUCUCUGCCCUAAAAACAAAACACAGAUCUUGAUUUCAGAAACUUGUAGCAUGGAAACUCAAAGAUUGAAGACAAAAAGCUUCAAAGGAGACAAAAGAACUAGUAUAAAUUACUACAUAGCAGCAAAAUUGAAGGUAUUUCGUUUCCCAUCUCUUCAAAUCUUUACUUAGGAAAAUCAAUUUUCCCAAAUUUUUGGUCAACGCACCCGAUCUAUUUUGAUCAGAUCCGACGCACAUCCCACACCCUUACCCGUGUCAGCACCGUGUCGACACGGAUACGGCACCGAAAGCGUCGUGUCCGAGCAACUUAGCAAAUAAGUGACAAAUCAGAAGAUGCAAGAAUUAAAUAAAGCAAUUUUAUAAGGUUGUGAUCCUGGAACUAUUUCCUUAAAUGAAAUAUACGUAGAGAAAAGGUGGAACCAAAAUGGAGAUACUUUGAAAAUAUAACCCCCAAAUAGUAGCAAAACAAACAUAUUUUGAGGAAGAUAGAGAGAGGCAGCAACACAUAUUUUCUAGCUAUGAGGCUUGAAGAUCAGUAGCAACCAAAAUAUAAAAUCAGAAAGACACGAAAUUCAUGAAACACUUCUGAAUAGAGAAAGAGAGAAGAGAUGAAGAAUUGAGAAACUCACCCAGAAAGAGGAUACCUUGAAGUAGGCAUAAAGAGAAUUGCAAAGAAAGAAUUAGAAUGUGAAGAGAUGGAGGAUUGCAGAGUGAAACUGUUAAAAUAGUGCACAUGUUUAGUAAAGGAAAAUAAAAUACAGUACAAUUCACAUUUCCAACCGAGAGGUUGUGAGUUCGAGUCUCCCCAAGAGCAAGGUGGAAAGUUCUUGGAGNNNNNNNNNNNNNNNNNNNNNNNNNNNNNNNNNNNNNNNNNNNNNNNNNNNNNNNNNNNNNNNNNNNNNNNNNNNNNNNNNNNNGAGGGAAGGAUGUCGGGGGUCUAUUUGGAAACAGCCUCUCUACCCAAGGGUAGGGGUAAGGUCUGCGUAAAUACUACCCUCCCCAGACCCCAUUAAGUGAGAUUAUACUGGGUUGUUAUUGUUGUACAAUUCACACGGCGUUUGGUACAACUAUUUGGAGUUAUGACCGAGCAUAUAACAUUAGAACAAAAAAGUAACAAUAGUAGGAAAAAAACGAUAGUACUUUUAAGAGGAACAAAGCUAUUAGCACAACAUAUGCCACAUACUAUACAAACACAUGAUAAAUACUACAUGGAGAAACAUACAACAUGAAUACUAUAGGGAGAAACACACAGCAAAAAAAAAACUAUUGAUAGUCGAAUAAUAUGAAAACAAAAAUGUGGAAAUAACCUCUUAUAGUCACUGGUGUUGCUCUUUUCUCCAUAGAGUACCUAUACUUUCUUCAAAAAUCAGUCACUCAAAAUUGUGCAGCCCCUAUAUUCUAAGUAAUUAAAUCACACAAACUACAGAAUGAAUCUUUGAGGAAAGAAUAACUUGAAUUCAUAAGUCUUGCUAUAAGAAAUCAAAUCGUGCCCAACUUAACUUGCAACCAAAAAAAUAAUCUAGUAUUACCUUGUCCUAUUGUCACGCCCAUUGUAAACCCCGAAACCCAUUGUCCUCUCCACAACUCCUCAUAUUUUUCGCCCUGUAUUCAUUAUCUCACCAGCUUUAUGGUAAAAAUAGAAAAAGAAAAAAGGUUAAAAAAAUAAAGGUGCUAACAGUCGAGUAUACAACAACAACAACCCAGUAUAAUCUCACUUAGUGGGGUCUGAGGAGGGUAGUGUAUACGCAGACCUUACCCCUACCCUUGGGUAGAGAGACUGUUUCCAAAUAGACCCAGCAUACUUCCCUCCAAGAACUUCUCACCUUACUAUUGGGGAGACUCGAACUCAUAACCUUUUGGUUGGAAGUGGGGGUUGCUUACUAUCAGAGCAACCCCUCUUGUCCUCUCCAAAGUAGAGUAUAUGUGGACGAAAGCGUUGUUCAAUUUUUUGUUAUCUCUCUUACAUCCCGAGGAUGAUAAGAAAUCAAAUAGAAAGCUCAGUUCAUUGAAGAGUUUUAUCAAACACGUCAAGAACAAAGGACUUUACCCAAAAAAUCAAAAUAAAAAAAUAAACUUUAGUAGCUAAGGGACUGGGGAAGAACUUCAGCCGAGCCCCACUUUGUUUCAUCAAAUACAUGGCAUCGAACAAAGAGAAUGUGUGAAGACUUGCAUGGUUUAAAUCAAUAAACAGAACACUAACUUAGCUCAGACUAUUCUUGUAACCACACCCUUUUGGGUUCAAAGCACUGAUACUCAUGAAGUUUAUUUGUGUCGAGAAAGCAGAAAAUUGCAAAAAGAACACCCAGUAAAAUGAAAUUAGAAAAAAAGAAGAAGAAGAAGAACUCACCAGAAAAUAACUCAAGCGACCAGACCAGAGGAUGAAGAACGACUGGAAUGGAGAUGACCAAAGAAAUAAAACUAAGUUGCUUUCACAUUACUAAUCAGAAAGUCCAAAUGACAUACGGAAAACUGUCUGCAAUUUGUAGUUUGUAGCAAGAGAACACAACCAAGAUAAACAUAGAAGAGAACCAGAGAAGCGCGCCGAUGGUUUUGAGGGGCCCAAAUAAUUUCAUAUCCAAGAAUAUCGUUAUUGCCUCGACCUUUGGAAAUAAUUUCAAACAUGCAUGUAGUGAAUCAAACAUAAAAUGACCCAAGCUCAAGAUGAUCAAAUUUUAUUUUGAAAAAACAAACAGAAACGCGAAAGAGAUAUCAUUUUUUCUGCUUUUCUGUAGCCACUAAAAAGUCACUAUUGAAACUCAAAUAUUACCAAAAGAAAAAAUACAAAUUAUUAAUGGAAAUCAGAAGAAAACAGUGAAUAAAAAAGAAAAGGGCAAAACUCACCGGUGAGAGAAGUGGAGGCGGCAGAGAAACGCG
rnacentral:lncRNA from 1 species